rnacentral:misc_RNA from 1 species
CGAAAGCCAAACCAGGGAAGAAGAAAUUUUCUCGCAUCUUCAUUCUUCCCCUUCAGAGAUUGAUUUGGCAGUUUGCUUUAAGAGCACAGGAAAACGAAGUUUUUCCGUUAAGUUUUUGAAUUGAUUUUGCAGCUGUAGUAUCCAGAUUUAUUAUGGAUUAAAAUCUUGAAUUCAAGGUUGAAAUGAGAUGCAAUGCUUGCUGGCGAGAACUGGAAGGACGAGCCAUUUCCACUACUUGUGGUCAUCUCUUGUGCACUGAAGAUGCCAGCAAGAUCCUUAGUAAUGAUGCAGCAUGUCCAAUUUGUGAUCAGGUGCUCUCCAAGAGCCUUAUGAAACCUGUGGAUAUCAAUCCAAAUGACGAAUGGAUAAAUAUGGCCAUGGCUGGAGUAUCUCCUCAAAUACUAAUGAAAAGUGCAUACAGAAGUGUGAUGUUUUAUAUUGGGCAAAAGGAACUGGAGAUGCAAUACAAGAUGAACAGAAUUGUAGCUCAAUGUCGGCAAAAAUGUGAAGUCAUGCAAGAAAAAUUCGCAGAAAAAUUGGAACAAGUGCAUACUGCAUAUCAAAAAAUGGCCAAGAGGUGUCAGAUGAUGGAACACGAGAUUGAGAGUUUGUCCAAGGAUAAGCAAGAGCUUCAAGAAAAAUUUUCUGAGAAGUCCAGGCAGAAGAGAAAGCUUGAUGAAAUGUAUGAUCAUUUGAGGAGUGACUAUGAGUCAAUGAAAAGAUCGGCAAUCCAACCAACAAGCAAUUUCUAUUCAAGAAAUGAGCCUGAAUUUUUCCCUAACCCAGCUGCUACCAUGAUGGAUAACAGAGACCCUAUCAGGAAAGAUUGGUCGGUUUUCACUCCUCCAACUCCAGGGCCUAGAGAGGAUAUAUGGCCAGCAAGACAGAACAGUUCUAAUUCUGGUCCCUUUGAAAUCUCUGGCGGCUCACCCGCAAAACAAUCGGCCAUUCCAAUUGAUGCUGGAAACAGAAGGGCUGGUGUUCACCCUGCUUUUGGAGCUGGAGCUGGCAAUACCUCAAUGACACUAAGGAACUUGAUUCUCUCCCCAAUAAAGCGACCUCAGCUCUCUCGUAGCCGCCCUCAAAUGUUCACGCUAUAAGCUUCAAGUCAGUGUUCUGCAGUUGGCUGGCCUUGUGAUGCUUUCUAGUUGUAAGAAAUCCUUCCUUUUCUUUUUCUCAUUUUUCCCCUCCUGAGUUAUAGAGAAAGAAGAAACAAGAUAGGAAACCGGUGGUGGUCCAAUAGGAACAUAUUAGUAAGUAUACAUGUGAAUUUUGUUUCCUGGAUUGACACAGACUUUCCUAUAGUUACACUACAAUCUCUGUAAUUACAUUGUGUUGGAUGGCUAGAGGAGGGCCCAUCAAAAGUUUACAGAAUUACUCCUUUAUUGCUUUGAUGUCACAAAAAGUAAUGUGGAGAUGUAAAAAGGCAAACUAGUUGCUUACUUUUUUUUUCCUCACGCGGUUGGGAAUCUCUGGACUGGAAACCAAAUUUGAUGUCCUUGUGUUUGCAAGGGAAGUA